UACGUAGGGUCCGAGCGUUGUCCGGAAUUACUGGGCGUAAAGAGCUCGUAGGUGGUUUGUCGCGUUGUUCGUGAAAACUCACAGCUCAACUGUGGGCGUGCGGGCGAUACGGGCAGGCUAGAGUACUGCAGGGGAGACUGGAAUUCCUGGUGUAGCGGUGGAAUGCGCAGAUAUCAGGAGGAACACCGGUGGCGAAGGCGGGUCUCUGGGCAGUAACUGACGCUGAGGAGCGAAAGCGUGGGGAGCGAACAGG
rnacentral:rRNA from 1 species